GAUGAACGCUGGCGGCGUGCCUAAUACAUGCAAGUCGAGCGAACGGACGAGAAGCUUGCUUCUCUGAUGUUAGCGGCGGACGGGUGAGUAACACGUGGAUAACCUACCUAUAAGACUGGGAUAACUUCGGGAAACCGGAGCUAAUACCGGAUAAUAUUUUGAACCGCAUGGUUCAAAAGUGAAAGACGGUCUUGCUGUCACUUAUAGAUGGAUCCGCGCUGCAUUAGCUAGUUGGUAAGGUAACGGCUUACCAAGGCAACGAUGCAUAGCCGACCUGAGAGGGUGGUCGGCCACACUGGAACUGAGACACGGUCCAGACUCCUACGGGAGGCAGCAGUAGGGAAUCUUCCGCAAUGGGCGAAAGCCUGACGGAGCAACGCCGCGUGAGUGAUGAAGGUCUUCGGAUCGUAAAACUCUGUUAUUAGGGAAGAACAUAUGUGUAUGUAACUGUGCACAUCUUGACGGUACCUAAUCAGAAAGCCACGGCUAACUACGUGCCAGCAGCCGCGGUAAUACGUAGGUGGGCAGCGUUAUCCCGAAUUAUGGGGCGUAAAGCGCGCGUAGGCGGUUUUUUAAGUCUGAUGUGAAAGCCCACGGCUCAACCCGUGGAGGGUCAUUGGAAACUGGAAAACUUGAGUGCAGAAGAGGAAAGUGGAAUUCCAUGUGUAGCGGUGAAAUGCGCAGAGAUAUGGAGGAACACCAGUGGCGAAGGCGACUUUCUGGUCUGUAACUGACGCUGAUGUGCGAAAGCGUGGGGAUCAAACAGGAUUAGAUACCCUGGUAGUCCACGCCGUAAACGAUGAGUGCUAAGUGUUAGGGGGUUUCCGCCCCUUAGUGCUGCAGCUAACGCAUUAAGCACUCCGCCUGGGGAGUACGACCGCAAGGUUGAAACUCAAAGGAAUUGACGGGGACCCGCACAAGCGGUGGAGCAUGUGGUUUAAUUCGAAGCAACGCGAAGAACCUUACCAAAUCUUGACAUCCUUUGACAACUCUAGAGAUAGAGCCUUCCCCUUCGGGGGACAAAGUGACAGGUGGUGCAUGGUUGUCGUCAGCUCGUGUCGUGAGAUGUUGGGUUAAGUCCCGCAACGAGCGCAACCCUUAAGCUUAGUUGCCAUCAUUAAGUUGGGCACUCUAAGUUGACUGCCGGUGACAAACCGGAGGAAGGUGGGGAUGACGUCAAAUCAUCAUGCCCCUUAUGAUUUGGGCUACACACGUGCUACAAUGGACAAUACAAAGGGCAGCGAAACCGCGAGGUCAAGCAAAUCCCAUAAAGUUGUUCUCAGUUCGGAUUGUAGUCUGCAACUCGACUACAUGAAGCUGGAAUCGCUAGUAAUCGUAGAUCAGCAUGCUACGGUGAAUACGUUCCCGGGUCU
rnacentral:rRNA from 1 species